UACGGAGGGGGCUAGCGUUGUUCGGAAUUACUGGGCGUAAAGGGCGCGUAGGCGGCGCGAUAAGUUGGGCGUGAAAGGCCCGGGCUCAACCCGGGGACUGCGCUUGAUACUGUCGCGCUGUGAGUCCGGGAGAGGAUGGCGGAAUUCCCAGUGUAGAGGUGAAAUUCGUAGAUAUUGGGAAGAACACCGGUGGCGAAGGCGGCCAUCUGGACCGGCACUGACGCUGAGACACGAAAGCCAGGGGAGCGAACGGG
rnacentral:rRNA from 1 species